UACAGACGGUCCAAACGUUAUUCGGAAUCACUGGGCUUAAAGAGUUCGUAGGCGGUCAGGAAAGUGGGGUGUGAAAGCCCUCGGCUUAACCGAGGAAUUGCGCUCCAAACUCCCUGACUUGAGGAGGCUAGAGGUAAGCGGAACUGAUGGUGGAGCGGUGAAAUGCGUUGAUAUCAUCAGGAACACCGGAGGCGAAGGCGGCUUACUGGGGCCUUUCUGACGCUGAGGCGCGAAAGCGUGGGGAGCAAACGGG
rnacentral:rRNA from 1 species